GCCUACGGCCAUAUCACCCUAAAUGCGCCUGAUGGCAUCUGAUCUCGGAAGCUAAGCAGGGUUGGGCCUGGUUAGUACUUGAAUGGGAGACCUCAUAUCUUUCUUAUACUGUGACAU
rfam:Heterocephalus glaber contig24942, whole genome shotgun sequence.